ACUCCCUGCCCUGGCCACACCCCCUGUUGAAGGAUCUUCUACAGAGAAUUCUUGUUUUUAUUCCCCGAGUGCUGCGUAUUGGACCAAGGGGAGGGAAAUCUGACCUAAGAGGAAGAAGGAGGCCAGACACAUCAGGUGCAGUCUGGUAUGAAGAGAUGACACAGACUGAGUUGCUGAAGCACAUGGCUGAAAUGCUUUCCCAAAGAGUUGUGCCAAUUUCUACUCCAAACAUUAGAGUGCACAUACGCAUAUAUCGGUAAUUUGUAUCAUACAAGAGCAUGAAUUGAGAAUGUCUAAAAG